GACGAAGGUGGCUAGCGUUUCUCGGAAUUACUGGGCAUAAAGCGCGCGUAGGUGGUCCUGUAAGCGGGGGAUGAAAGCCCAUGGCUCACCCAUGGAACUGUCCUUCGGACUGCAGGGCUGGAGGGCGGGAGGGGAGAAUGGAAUUCCCGGUGUAGCGGUGAAAUGCGUAGAUAUCGGGAGGAACGCCGGUGGCGAAAGCGAUUCUCUGGCCCGUUCCUGACACUGAGGCGCGAAAGCUAGGGGAGCAAACAGG
rnacentral:rRNA from 1 species